AACGAACGCUGGCGGCAGGCCUAACACAUGCAAGUCGAGCGAGCAUUUCGGUGCUAGCGGCGGACGGGUGAGUAACGCGUGGGAACGUGCCCUUUUCUGCGGAAUAGUCCUGGGAAACUGGGGGUAAUACCGCAUACGCCCUUUUGGGGAAAGAUUUAUCGGAGAAGGAUCGGCCCGCGUUGGAUUAGGUAGUUGGUUGGGUAAUGGCCCACCAAGCCGACGAUCCAUAGCUGGUUUGAGAGGAUGAUCAGCCACACUGGGACUGAGACACGGCCCAGACUCCUACGGGAGGCAGCAGUGGGGAAUCUUAGACAAUGGGGGCAACCCUGAUCUAGCCAUGCCGCGUGAGUGAUGAAGGCCUUAGGGUUGUAAAGCUCUUUCAGCUGGGAAGAUAAUGACGGUACCAGCAGAAGAAGCCCCGGCUAACUCCGUG
rnacentral:rRNA from 1 species